UACGUAGGGGGCAAGCGUUGUCCGGAAUCAUUGGGCGUAAAGCGCGUGUAGGCGGCCCACUAAGUCCGCUCUGAAAGCCCGGGGCUCAACCCCGGGAGGCGGGUGGAUACUGGUGGGCUCGAGUCCGGAAGAGGUCAGUGGAAUUCCCGGUGUAGCGGUGAAAUGCGCAGAUAUCGGGAGGAACACCAAUGGCGAAGGCAGCUGACUGGGACGUGACUGACGCUGAGACGCGAAAGCGUGGGGAGCAAACAGGAUUAGAAACCCCCGUAGUCC
rnacentral:rRNA from 1 species